rnacentral:tRNA from 1 species
GGUAAAAUGGCUGAGGUAUAGGCAAUAAAUUGUAAAUUUAUGGACGAAAUUUUUUCUUUUAUCA